CGGGGUGAGUAUGUCUGGGAAACUGCCUGAUGGAGGGGGAUAACUGCUGGAAACGGUAGCUAAUACCGCAUAACGUCGCAAGACCAAAGAGGGGGACCUUCGGGCCUCUUGCCAUCGGAUGUGCCCAGAUGGGAUUAGCUAGUAGGUGGGGUAACGGCUCACCUAGGCGACGAUCCCUAGCUGGUCUGAGAGGAUGACCAGCCACACUGGAACUGAGACACGGUCCAG
rnacentral:rRNA from 1 species